GACGAACGCUGACGGCGUGCUUAACACAUGCAAGUCGAAGGGAGUGGCGAACGGGUGAGUAACACGUGAGUAACCUGCCCUUUUCUUUGGGAUAAGCCUGGGAAACUGGGUCUAAUACUGGAUGGAUUGGGAUGGGCUCGCGGCUUAUCAGCUGGUUGGUGGGGUGAUGGCUUACCAAGGCUUUGACGGGUAGCCGGCAUGAGAGGGUGGGCGGUCACACUGGGACUGAGAUACGGCCCAGACUACGAAGGGAGGCAGCAGUGGGGGAUAUGGCACAAUGGAUGAAAGGCUGAUGCAGCGAGGGUGUGUGGGGGAUGAAGGCCGUCGGGUUGUAAACUCCUUUCGCCCGCGGAAUGGUAGUGGGUAAAGAAGCGCCGGCUAACUACGUGCCAGCAGCCGCGGUAAUUC
rnacentral:rRNA from 1 species